AGGUGGUGACUUUUCAUUAGCCCGGGCAAGAUGAGUAUGUUUAUCGUGGAUGUAAGAGUUCGUUCAUAGCAAGAUAAGUAUGUUUAUCGUGGAUGUAUGAGUUCGCUCUUUUCUAUGACGGUGUCAAUGUCGCGACGAUAAGUAUGUUUAUCGUGGAUGUAAGAGUUCGUUCGAGGAAGCUAAUUAAUAGUAGUUGCGUGGCUUAUUUGCCGACGGUGGUGGAGAUUCAAAAGGAGAUU
rnacentral:lncRNA from 1 species